UACGAAGGUGGCGAGCGUUACUCGGAAUUACUAGGCGUAAAGGGCAGGUAGGUGGUCUGAUAAGUCUGUUGUGUAAGCUCCCGGCUUAACUGGGAGAGGUCAACAGAUACUGUCAGGCUUGAGUAUAGGAGAGGAUACUGGAAUUCCCGGUGUAGCGGUGAAAUGCGCAGAGAUCGGGAGGAACAUCAAUGGCGAAAGCAGGUAUCUGGACUAUUACUGGCACUCAGCUGCGAAAGCUAGGGGAGCAAACAGG
rnacentral:rRNA from 1 species